UACAGAGGGUGCAAGCGUUAAUCGGAAUUACUGGGCGUAAAGCGCACGUAGGCGGAUCGAUCAGUCAGGGGUGAAAUCCCAGGGCUCAACCCUGGAACUGCCUUUGAUACUGUCGAUCUGGAGUAUGGAAGAGGUGAGUGGAAUUCCGAGUGUAGAGGUGAAAUUCGUAGAUAUUCGGAGGAACACCAGUGGCGAAGGCGGCUCACUGGUCCAUUACUGACGCUGAGGUGCGAAAGCGUGGGGAGCAAACAGG
rnacentral:rRNA from 1 species